rnacentral:rRNA from 1 species
UACGUAGGGGGCUAGCGUUGUCCGGAAUCAUUGGGCGUAAAGCGCGUGUAGGCGGCCCGGUAAGUCCGCUGUGAAAGUCCAGGGCUCAACCCUGGGAUGCCGGUGGAUACUGUCGGGCUCGAGUCCGGAAGAGGCGAGUGGAAUUCCUGGUGUAGCGGUGAAAUGCGCAGAUAUCAGGAGGAACACCAAUGGCGAAGGCGGAUCUCUGGACAGUUCCUGACGCUGAGGCACGAAGGCCAGGGGAGCAAACGGG